rnacentral:rRNA from 1 species
UACAGAGGGUGCGAGCGUUAAUCGGAAUUACUGGGCGUAAAGCGUGCGCAGGCGGUCUGUUAAGACCAAUGUGAAAUCCCCGGGCUUAACCUGGGAACUGCAUUGGUGACUGGCAGGCUUUGAGUGUGGCAGAGGGAGGUAGAAUUCCACGUGUAGCAGUGAAAUGCGUAGAGAUGUGGAGGAAUACCGAUGGCGAAGGCAGCCUCCUGGGCCAACACUGACGCUCAUGCACGAAAGCGUGGGGAGCAAACAGG